AUAAAACCCAUUUCUUCCUGUAAAAAAAAAAAAAAAAAAAAAAAAAAAAAAAAAAAAAAAAAAAAAAAAAAAAAACAAGAAAGAAAGAAAAGAAA